UUACGGCCAUAUCACGUUGAAACAUCAGUUUCCGUACGAUCACCGAAGUUAAGUAACGUCGAGCCUGGUCAGUACCUAGAUGGGUGACCACUUGGAAAUACCAGGUGCUGUAA